GACGAACGCUGGCGGCGUGCCUAAUACAUGCAAGUAGAACGCUGAAGGAGGAGCUUGCUUCUCCGGAUGAGUUGCGAACGGGUGAGUAACGCGUAGGUAACCUGCCUGGUAGCGGGGGAUAACUAUUGGAAACGAUAGCUAAUACCGCAUAACAGUAGAUGUUGCAUGACAUUUGCUUAAAAGGUGCAAUUGCAUCACUACCAGAUGGACCUGCGUUGUAUUAGCUAGUGGGUGAGGUAACGGCUCACCAAGGCGACGAUACAUAGCCGACCUGAGAGGGUGAUCGGCCACACUGGGACUGAGACACGGCCCAGACUCCUACGGGAGGCAGCAGUAGGGAAUCUUCGGCAAUGGACGGAAGUCUGACCGAGCAACGCCGCGUGAGUGAAGAAGGUUUUCGGAUCGUAAAGCUCUGUUGUAAGAGAAGAACGAGUGUGAGAGUGGAAAGUUCACACUGUGACGGUAUCUUACCAGAAAGGGACGGCUAACUACGUG
rnacentral:rRNA from 1 species